AAGUCGUAACAAGGUUUCCGUAGGUGAACCUGCGGAAGGAUCAUUAACACGUUUCCAACGUAUCAACCAACCGGUUCAAUGUUUCAACCCCUCCCUAUCUGGGAAGCUGUCAUUCGGCCUUUCAAUGGUGGGUGACUUAGCUUCGGCUAAUCACGAAAGAAUGAAUGAAUGGAGUGCGACUCAAGGCUUUCUUUAUAGGCAUUAUUUUUCAUCUUAUUUCCCUCCAUCAUUGGGGAUAGGAUACCAAAUUUUUACCCUUCUAACCCUUUAAUUCAUACCUGUCUAAAUGUUUCUGAACGAAGAGAUUUGUUUGGAAUUGUAUAUAAACCUAUGUACAACUCUUAGCAAUGGAUAUCUUGGUUCUC
rnacentral:misc_RNA from 1 species